rnacentral:rRNA from 1 species
GACACAAGCCAUGCAUGCCCGCGCACCCGGGAGGCGGCGGACGGCUCAGGACAACGGUUGCACCCCCCGCGGCGGUCCCUGCUAGCCGGACACCGCUGGCAACCCGGCGCCAAGACGUGCGCGCAAGGGCGGGCGCCCGCGGGCGAGCAGCGUGACGCAGCGACGGCCCGCCCGGGCUUCCGGGGCAUCACCCGGUCGGCGCGGUCGCGGCGCGCCGAGGGCCCGACGCCUGGCGGAGAAUCAGGGUUCGACUCCGGAGAGCGGGCCUGAGAGACGGCCCGCACAUCCAAGGACGGCAGCAGGCGCGGAACUUGCCCAAUGCGCGCGCGCGAGGCAGCGACGGGGAGUGCGCGAGCGAGGCGGGCCCACAGCCCCCGCCG